AGGAACUGCUCUCCAAGAUUCUUAGUCACUUCCUUUUCUUUACAGGGGCAAGCUAGCCUGCUUUCCACCAGAGCAUCUCCCUCCAAAGAUGCAAGUGUGUGGAAAUGAGACUGCAGGGAGAACUUCCAGGCAACAAAGGAUGUGAGACUAUAGAAGAGGCACUAUAGCUGGGCUCAUGGAGGAGGGAUGCCGCUCUGGACUUUGCCCAGGGGAUGCUGGAUCUCUGAUAUGAAGGAAGAAGAGGGGGAGGAAGGGUCCCCAAGCCUCUGACCUUGAUCUGAGCAUCACAGAAGCCUCCUCCCCUGAGGAUCCUGCAGUAGCCAAGCCACCAGCUUUCACAGAUGAUGGCUCACACUGAAAUAACUUGUUCCUAGGGUAGUUGGUGAUCAAUGACUCAAAUUAAACCUUAGAAAAGUUUUUUUUCUUCCUGACACUUUAUAGGUUUCUCUACUUAUCUCCUCCCUGGAUGGCUGUAUAAGCCAGAUGACGGCUACCUGAACACUCUAGAAAAAGUGAAUUCACAGAGGCUUUCACAGGGCACAGCCUCGCAGUCUGGAGGGAGAAGAGGGCAAAGCAGUCUUCACGGAUGCCACCUACUGCCUAGCUGGGCAGAGAGCCAGUGGAUCAGAGAGGCCGGCUCUGUUCUUGGCAGGAAAUGAGGGGCUGGCAUGGAAAUGCCACCCAGGCUGGGAACAAGAUCUGUGGAGUGGCAGCCUGAGUGGGUGAGCUUGAUCUGCAGUCCUUUCAUCUCAAAGAGAAUGGCCAGCAAGGAGCCCAUUCAUGGAGCCUUGUUGGACAACUCCACCUACACAGUCUUCAGUGGUGCUCUGGAGAACAGAAGCUGACAACAGGCUAUGGUGAUCCAGAGUCCUCACCGUCUACUCUCCCAUCCCUUCAACCAAACUUUCCUGGGCAACUCUGAUGCCAGGCAUUUCUAGCACUGUGACAGAACCUGGUGGAGGACAGAGGGCUCCACUUCAAAGGUAACCACCUGUCUCCUUCUGCUAUAACAGGGCUGACCUCAGUGCAGCAGAGGGCAGAGCUUGGAGGCAGCUGCUGAGAAUUUGCACUCUAAAGACAUCCACCUAAAUCACAAGCUUUAUAUCUGGGCACUCAGCCAGACCUCCUGACCAUAUCCUGGACUGCGGACUUUGGAUGGUGGAACGGGGGUGGAAUUGAACAUUAAAUGAGCAACAUGCUAAUUCCAUGCAAAUGAAUAUCUAUUUUGAAUCAACAGCUUGGGCACUUUUUCUAGGAGGGCUGAGGCAGCAGGAAUCUAAAGAGAGGAUGAGAGGGGGAGGGGUUUCUCUCAGAGGUGGCAGAGAGUGCAAAGGGGGCUCCAGGCUGGGCAGAGCCACCUCCUGCCCACAGUUCCUAAUGCUAUUUGAUUGGCUCAUUAGCAAGUAUGAAACAUGGGAAGUCCAAAAAAAAGGAAUAAAGAAAAAAACCCCAACUCUGAAAUGAAUAAACUAACAGAUGGAGACUUAAUUCAAUUUGCAUGCAACCUACCCUAGCACCAAGGACUUUGUUUGCUUAACAAUGGAGACCCUGGGGGUGGGGAGGGGUCCCUCCUGCAGAGGGGCUGAUGGGGAUGAUCCCAGAUCAUCUCUUCCAUGCUGCUCUUAUCCUUUCCUGGCGGCCAGAUGGGUAUUCUUGUUUUAAAGCUCCUCUCCCUUGGGCUGGUCCUGAAUUCAUUGUCUUAUCCAGAGAGAAAGGUUCUUGGGUAGAAAUGAGGCUGGCUUUGUGGGAAGGAUGGGGUGGGGAACUGUGGGUAGCAGCAGCAGAGGGGGAUGAAAAGCCAUUCAGAAGCCAAGGGACUAGGUCAGGGGGACACCUGCCCCCACAUCUCAGCCUGCCCCCAAGCCCCACACUCAGAGUGAAUCAGAAGGCCAGGUAGCUGGGAAGCAGAGACUCAACCCUGGUCUGCCUGACUCCAAAGCCUGCAUCCUUUCCACUGUAUAUCCUGCUCCCAAGACCUGGAUCCAAGUCUUGCUUUGCCACUAACUAGCUGUUUUGAUUGUCAUCAGGUGACCUGAAGUCUCUGAACAUUGAGAUUCCUCAUUUGAUGAGCAGGAAUAAUAGCCAAAUGAACCUCGCCAUAGCUGCUGUGCAGCAAAUACCAAAUGUGUGGAUAUGGAAGCAUUGUGUGCUGUUUGCAUUUCUAUCCAGGUUCUCACAUUAGGGACAAUCAUUGCUAGGGUCCAGGGUGUCACUCACCUUCCUUCCCUCUAGGGAGCUGACAGAUGGGGUAUAUGCACAAAGAACAGUAACCAAAUGGGAAAAGAUGAACUACUUUACUAAACAUCAUAGCAGUGCCAAGCUCUGGCAAAAGCCAGAUAGGCCAAAUCCUGAAACAGAAUCCUGGGAAACAAAUCACACUUCCCCUGGCCCACAGGGAGAGAGGAAAAGAGAGAGAUGGCCUGGCAUCCCUGAGCACAUGUCUGACCAACCACAGGGUAUGGGCUGUAGGCCUAUCUCAGCCUCUAAGGUGCAAAAAGGAACAGAGAAAACCAGGGUGUUCACAUCUGGUUUUAGAAGGGUCCAGGUGUAUGUAGGAGAGGAAUAACUUUUCCUAUGCCCUCUUAAGUUCCGUGGCCAGCUGGGCCUGACAAUUAAGUUGACAUAGACUAACAAGAUAAAACCAUACGAAUUUUAUUUAAUAUUUUUGUGUGUACAUGGGAGCCUUCAUAGGAAAAAUGAAGAUCUGAAGAAGUGGUUAAGACCAAGAGUUUAUGUACCUUUUUAAACAAAGAUUAAUAAAUUUUUGAAGAAGUGAUGAGACAAAGAAAAAGGGUGUUAAAUUUCUAAGUGUGGUAAUUUGUGGGAAAAUGAUGAGGAAAUAUGUGGGGGAAAACUAAAGCAAGAGAAGGAUUAUUUUAGUAGGUUUGUUUGUACAGAUCCAUUUCAGCAUUUGACUCCUAGUCUCUGGGUAAGAGUAUUCUCUAUCUGAUGUAGGAGCCAAGGGGUU